UACGAGGGGGGCGAGCGUUGUUCGGAAUUAUUGGGCGUAAAGGGUGCGUAGGCGGUUUGGUAAGUCUCGUGUGAAAUCUACAGGCUCAACUUGUAGUCUGCACGAGAAACUGCCGGGCUUGAGUGUGGGAGAGGCGAGUGGAAUUCCCGGUGUAGCGGUGAAAUGCGCAGAUAUCAGGAGGAACACCGGUGGCGAAGGCGGGUCUCUGGGCCGAUACUGACGCUGAGGAGCGAAAGCGUGGGGAGCGAACAGG
rnacentral:rRNA from 1 species